rnacentral:rRNA from 1 species
CAGCAGCCGCGGUAAUACGGAGGGUGCAAGCGUUAAUCGGAAUUACUGGGCGUAAAGCGCACGCAGGCGGUUUGUUAAGUCAGAUGUGAAAUCCCCGAGCUUAACUCGGGAACUGCAUUUGAAACUGGCAGGCUAGAGUCUCGUAGAGGGGGGUAGAAUUCCAGGUGUAGCGGUGAAAUGCGUAGAGAUCUGGAGGAAUACCGGUGGCGAAGGCGGCCCCCUGGACGAAGACUGACGCUCAGGUACGAAAGCGUGGGGAGCAAACAGGAUUAGAUACCCGAGUAGUCCCUGUCUCUUAUAC